AGGGCAGUAGCAAUGGCUCAAAACAAAGACUUCAAAGGAUCGAGUCUUAGAUGCUUGCAAUCAAUUGGUUGGGGACAAAUGAGGACGGAUGGUGAUUCCAAGGUGACGGAGGUUUGAUGACCAGAUGAGAGAAAAACAAGGUGUCAUGAAGAGAAAUAGCUCUGUGAGGUUAGGUGCACAAGGUCAUUCGCUUAGUUACCAGCAGAACCAAGGCUGUGACCCACGUCUCCUGGAAUCCAGUCACCACCACUGCCACCCAGGCAACCAACACCAGGGUCCUUUGUGAGGAAUACAGACACAAGUGACUACUUACAGUCCACUAGGCAGUCGAAGAUUCCGAAGCAGCCCCUUGGCAGUCAGCCGUACGUGAAUGGUGGAUAAGGAGAAUUUGGGAGACAACAACAUGUCUUCAGAGCAGGUGGCAAGAUUUCACGGAAGAGGCAGCCUCCAUCGACCAUCACAUACUGUCUUUUUAAACUCAGGACUCUCCAGGGCCAAGAAACACAGCAAGAGGAAACAUGCUCCACAGAGCAAAUGUCAUUCCACCAACAGACGUGCAAAAGGGGAAAGGAAAGAAAAAACAACCCACAGCUAUCCAAGUGUUUCUGGCUUCCGUUCCCACUCCCAGAUGUUGCCAAAACAAUGCUCUUCCUCCGAAUAAAAUCUC